CUUAACUACCUACUCUAAAAAUUCCAAGUUGCAGCAAAAGAAUCCCAGAAACAUAUUUCAUAUUGGGACAUCAGCAACAGCAGCACUGUGACCAAGUAAUGGGGCUGGAGGGGACCAAAAAAUAAGAGCCUCCCUUCUGCCCCAUUCUUCCCAGAAUAGAGAGAAUCUGGAAGACUGUGGACCACAUGUCUCCAGUUCCAUUUUCCUGAGCUUACACCUUUCAAUAAGCCCACUCCACCCUGGGGUAGAGGAAGAAGGCUGGGUCUUCUGUCCGUGUUCUCUACCUGACUACAAUUACAAUAUUUAGCAUAUUCCUGAUUCCCAGAAUACGAGAUGAAUGCAGGUCAAUCGAUAUUGAAAGCUGUGACCUGUGAAAUCAAAGCAAGUUAUCUACUUCUAGAACACAGUGGUGGAAUAGGCAUAGGAUACACAUACCCAUUCCAAAAGGGAGAAAUCAGCAGUCAAAGAGUGGUAACUGCUCUCAGAAUAUCAGAGACCAGUCAAUGAACAAAGAAAAGAAGUUCAUUCAGCACAAAAUUCUGGAGGCUGGAAAGUCCAAGAGCAUGGUUCUGGCAUCUGACAAGGGCCAUCCAAUGAUGAAUAAAUGGAAGGCAAGAGAAAUGCAUGUGAGAGAGUACUGGUUCUUGCAACAAAGCCACUCCCAUAAUAACUAAGUCACUCCCAACAUAACUGCAUUAAUCUACUCAUGAAGGUGAAGCUCCCAUGACCUAAUCACUUCCUAAAGACCUCAACUCCUGAUGCUAUCACACUGGCAAUUAAGUUUCAACACAAGCUUUGGAGGGGACAUUCAAGCCAUAGCACUGUCCCUCCUUUAUGUCAGACCCCAGUAAAAUUAAAUCUUUUAUGACUUCUCUCUUCCCCUAACAAACCUCUAUUACUUAUCAGUGCUGUGCCAACUCCACAUUAAACAAGGCCACUGAAUAUAGAGUAAGAAGGCCUCAAAUUCUGUAUUGUAGCUAUCCUUAUCUAGCUCUGUGACCUUAAGUAAAGUGGUUAUCCUCUCUAAGUCUUAAUCUUUUCCUUGGUAAAAGGGGUUUUCACCUGCCUUACUUAACUAAAAGGCUGUUGUAAAGACAAAAUAGGGAAUGUUUUGUCUGACUGUUUUAUAAGUGAACAUUAUACUGUGUAAGCUGCUCAAGCAAGUUAAAAUUAAGUUCUGCUGAUGUGACUGACAACCCAAAGUGAUAGUGGCUUAAACAAGUUAGAAUUUUAUUUGUUUCUCACGUGAAAGAAAUUGAGAGAGAAGCUCUUCAGGGCCAGUGUAAUGGCUACAGGAUGCAGGGACCCAAACUCUUUCUCUUUUGAUGCUUUUUUUUCUCUCUUGAUGCUCGACCAUUCUUAGCACCCAAUUUCCUUGUCAGGAUUGAGGUUGGCCACAUAAGCUCUGCCAUUCAUGUCUGCAUUCCAGACAGCAAGAAAGAGAAAGAGAGGGGACAUUCUCCCUCUCUUUAAAGACACUUACAGGAAUUAUGCAUGACAUUCCAGAUGACAUUUAUUGGUCAGAGCUUAAAUAGCUACAUCAAACUGCAAGGGAGGUCGAGCCCGGCUGAAAACCAGGACUUCAAAAAAAUAAGAAUCAUGCAGGUAAUGGCUGCUAGGGAUGACUAUGGUUUGAAUGUUUGUGUCCCCUCCAAAAUUCAUGCUGAAACUUAAUCAUCAAUGCGAUGGUAUUGAGGUGAAGCCUUUAGGAGGUGAUUGAGUCAUGAGGGCAAAGCCAUCAUGAAUAGAAUUGGAGCCCUUGUAAGAUGGUAUGAGGGAGUGAGUUUGCUCCUGUCCAUCUCUGCUGCCAUGUGAAAACACAGCAUUCAUCCUCAACAACAAGGUGCCCCCUUGGAAGCAGACAGCAGCCCUCACCAGACACUGA